GACGAACCGUGCGAACGUUGUUCGGAUUCACUGGGCUUAAAGGGCGCGUAGGCGGCUUGCCAAGUCAGGGGUGAAAUCUUUCGGCUCAACCGGAAAACAGCCCCUGAUACUGGCGGGCUGGAGGGAGGUGGGGGCGGAUGGAACUUCCGGUGGAGCGGUGAAAUGCGUAGAUAUCGGAAGGAACGCCGGUGGCGAAAGCGAUCCGCUGGACCUCUUCUGACGCUGAUGCGCGAAAGCUAGGGGAGCGAACAGG
rnacentral:rRNA from 1 species